rnacentral:rRNA from 2 species
UCCUUUGUUGCCAGCGGUCCGGCCGGGAACUCAAAGGAGACUGCCAGUGAUAAACUGGAGGAAGGUGGGGAUGACGUCAAGUCAUCAUGGCCCUUACGACCAGGGCUACACACGUGCUACAAUGGCGCAUACAAAGAGAAGCGACCUCGCGAGAGCAAGCGGACCUCAUAAAGUGCGUCGUAGUCCGGAUUGGAGUCUGCAACUCGACUCCAUGAAGUCGGAAUCGCUAGUAAUCGUGGAUCAGAAUGCCACGGUGAAUACGUUCCCGGGCCUUGUACACACCGCCCGUCACACCAUGGGAGUGGGUUGCAAAAGAAGUAGGUAGCUUAACCUUCGGGAGGGCGCUUACCACUUUGUGAUUCAUGACUGGGGUGAAGUCGUAACAAGGUAACCGUAGGGGAACCUGCGGUUGGAUCACCUCCUUACCUUAAAGAAGC